GGACUUGCCUCACCAUGCCUGGCUUCCGAGAGAUGAAUAACUGGGUCUUAUGGGUUUCAACUUGGAGGGGAGGUUGGAGGGAGGAGUCAGGGAGCCGGCUCUGUGCCUGAGAAUCCACACGGAGGAAGAAGAGACUAGACUCUUCCCUCCUUUAACCUCCUCCCUCACAAGGUAAAUAAUAAAAGGUAAAUGCGAACUUCUUUAAGGUUCAAAUAAAAACCCCUCAGCACUGCACCACAGGAGGACAGUGGCCCGGUCAUACUCAGAUGCCCCCCUGCUGUGAGGCCACAGGCUGAACAGGCCCUUCCCCCAGGAAGCCCACAAGGAAGGCAGUGUCUGACACCCAGAAUGAGCCCUAAGGACAGCUGCAAACUCAUGAAGUGAUCAACUCUGUGACUGAGAGCCAGCCCACCCCACACUCACUCUGCCUUGCUGCAAACUGAACUCUCCAGUUAAGGCGGUGCUUGGGAAGCUGAGGCAGGAGGACUGCACAUUCAAGUACGCAGGAGGCCGAGAGCUCCGAGCCAAGCUGGACCCCACAAGAAGACAUUGUCUCUUUAAAAAAUGACUACAAGCAAGGCUGUGCAAUGAGGCCAAGGCUGCAGAAGACUCCAGUCUGUGGGAACCCUCGGUCGGACAGACUGAGAGAGCCAGUCCUACAUGCCCUGUGUCAUCUACACACAAGCAAUUGGAGCACAAGCAUACACAAACAUGUACCCAAAAGUAAAUAAUGUUAGGUUUUUUUUUUUUCUUUUUCUUUUUUGACAGGGUUUCUCUGUGUGAGCUGUCUUAGAACUCACUCUGCAGACCAGGCUGGCCUUGAACUCACAGAGAUCCCCUGCCUCUGCCUCUGAGUGCUAGGAUUAAAGGCGAGUGCCACAAUGCUGGGACAUAAAAUACAAACUUUAAAUUAAAAAGUAAGCCCCCUGGCAUUGGGCAGAGACACCGUGUUGGCAUUGCUUUACGUCAGUCAGGGCAGACAGAUAGUCCUCUGUUCAUCCGAGUGCCAAGUCCCGCUUGGUGGCCAAAGCUGUCUUAUGCCAACUCAAAUCAAGGCAGCACAGUGCAAAAGGAGGAAGACAGAGACCUGCAGACUUCCAUGCCACCCACAGAGCUGCCCUCCAGAGCACGGCACUAGAGCGGUAGACGGCCACUCACUAUGACACAGAUGAAGGAUGUCGCCCAGGGGACCGCCAUCAGCGUAGCCCACCUGCAGCGGGGACCACCACAAUGCGUCAUACGUGGUGGGCAGAGGGGGAGAGAGAGUGGAGCAGCUUGAGCAUUGUGGAGAGAGAUUAACCUACAGACUGAGGUGGAGAGGCCACACGGAGUGUGUGCAGUGGCAGGGGUCCGUGUCAAUCCAUGGCUCAUGCUCCCACUGGAGAACGUGGGGCAGCUGCUGAGGAUCACGUGGAUGUGCAGGGGCUGUGCAAAACUGGCCCCGGCUCUCACCAGAGGCAAGACUCAGUAGAGUGUUGGCAAAGCGGGCCCUGAGCCUAGCGCAGACAGCACAGUGGAGCUGGCCCUGCUGCCCCUCUGCCAGGAGGUGGCACAGGCACAGAGGUGAUGCCCACCUCACCCCUCACCACCUGUGGCAGGUGGGAAAGCUACUCACAGGGUUGUCAGCUCUGGAGAGCUGGCCCUGCCCCUCACCACUGCAGCACUCCAGAGAGUGGGUCCUGCCCCCUCCCCCUGACCUGGCCCUGCCCUCUACUGCCAUGAGGUGGUGUGGGUGCAGGGGUGGGGAGGAGGAGCAGUGGGUUGGUGGAGCGCUGGCUCUGGGGUCAUGAGAGCAGGAUGACUAACCAACCCUGGACUGAGAGCACCUGGCGGACUGGGCCCUGCACCUUGCCUGCGAGGCACAGUGGAGCUGGGAAGCAGCCUAGUGGAGACCGCUUCCUCCGAGGCCCUUUGUUCCCUCCCUGGCAGCAACAAGGACAAACGCCACUGACCAAAGGACAAAGGCCACUGACCAAAGGACAAAGGCCACUGACCAACACAUUGAAUCUCUGGUGUCACACUUAAGAAAUAACUGUUGCUGGGGUUGGAGAGACCAGUGACCAUGAACACAUGGCCUUCCUGCAAGGACUGGGCUUCGGGGUCAGUUCUCAGCCCCCACAUGGCAUGUCACAAGCCUCUGGAACUGCAGUCCCCUGGAGAUCCGAUGGCCUCCACACCAGUCAUAUACAUAUACACAGGCAAGCACUCCCACCCAUAAGAUAAAAUAAGUACAUCUCUGCUGGGGAUUUAGCUCAGUGGUAGAGCACUUACCUAGGAAGCGCGAGGCCCUGGGUUCGGUCCCCAGCUCCGAAAAAAAAGAACCAAAAAAAAAAAGUACAUCUCUGUUUCCACGGCCCUGUCUCAGCACUCACCCCACAGGCACACGGACGGGGUAAAGCGCUGCGGAGUGCGCGUGCACACACACACUGAACAAAGGCCUUAGGAGAAGGACCAGAAGGAGGAGGAGGAGGAGGAGGAGGAGGAAGAGGAGGAGGAGGAAGAAGAAGAAGAAGGAAGAAGAGGAAGAAGAAGAAGAAGAGGAAGAAGAAGAAGAAGAAGAAGAAGAAGAAGAAGAAGAAGAAGAAGAAGAAGAAGAAGAAAAGAAGCAGCAGCAGCAGCAGCAACAGCAGCAGCAGAAGAGGGGGCUGGAGAGAUGGCUCAGUGGUUAAGAGCACUGACUACUCUUCCAGAGGUCCUGAGUUCAAUUCCCAGCAACCACAUGGUGGCUCACAACCAUCUGUAAUGGGAUCUGAUGCCCUCUUCUGGUGUAUCUGAAGACAGCUACAGUGUACUUAUAUAGAAUAAAUGAAUAAAUCUUUAAAAAAGGGCUGGAGAGAUGGCUCAGCGGCUAAGAGCACCCGACUACUCUUCCAGAGGUCCUGAGUUCAAUUCCCAGCAACCACAUGGUGGCUCACAACCAUCUGUAAAGAGAUCCGAUGCCCUCUUCUGGUGUAUCUGAAGACAGCUACAGUGUACUUAUAUAUAAUAAAUGAAUAAAUCUUUAAAAAAAAAAAUCUUUAAAAAAAAAAAAGAAGCAGAAGAAGGAGGAGAAGAAGAAGACGAUGACGACGACAACACUGACAGCUGGGCAGUGGUGAAAAAUCAAAAAAGUAAAAAGCAAAAAGAGGUGGUGCACCUGGGAGGUAGAGGCAGACAGAUCUCUGUGAGCUUGAGUCUAGCCUGGUCUACGUAGCAAGCUCCAGCUCCAGGACAGUUGAGAGACCUUUCCUAAACCUCUCCCCCAAAAGAAGGGAAAUAAGUUAUGGUUUGAAUAUGCUUGGCCCAGGGAAUGGCACUAUUAGGAGGUGUGACCCUCCUAAUUGGAGUGGGUGUGUCACUGUGGGCGUGGGCUAUAAGACCCUCACCCUAGCUGCCUGGAAGCCAGUCUUCCACUAGCAGCCUCAGAUGAAGCUGUAGAACUCUCAGCUCCUCCUGCACCAGGCCUGCCUGGAUGCUGCCAUGUUCCCACCUUGAUGACAAUGGACAGAACCUCUGAACUGUAAGUCAGCCCUGAUUAAACGUUGUCAUUUGUAA